rnacentral:tRNA from 1 species
AUUAGGGUGGCAGAGCCCGGAUAUUGCAUAAGAUUUAAAACCUUUCAACAGAGGUUCAACUCCUCUCCCUAAUA